GGUUUAAAACUGCAUGUAGAAUGGCACGAGUGAUUAUGAAUAUUAACAGUAGCCUGUAUAUCAAAGCCCCAUGCAUUUUCUGAAAAUCAAAAUGUAUAUCAGUAAUACUACAUACUAGUAACUGGAUUACAUACAGAUUCCAAAAGUUAAGUAGGCCUAGUUCUAAUCAGAUUAUAUUACGUUUAAAUGCGUAAAAUGCUAAUUAUCUGAUUACAGUAACUUUGUAAUGGAUUAGCUACAUGAUUAAUAAUCACACAAUCACAGUAAACGAUUCAUGAUUUAUUGAUUCACCCUAUUUUUUCCCUCUUCUUCUUCUUUUAAAAUGUUCCCUUCAAAAAUUAAGCUUUAACGAAAUAUGGUUCAGAUACAGUAUUUGAGGGUUUUACUUUCCCCAUGCAUUUAUUUAAAAUAGCCUAAUGGUUACUCACGUAGCAAUCACUUGGCCUUCUUACGUAUUGCUUAUUCUUUUGAAUUGAAAACAAAAUGAUAUGAAUCGUUAAACAUUCACAAAUCAGAUGUAGUAGGCUACUAUCUGUAAAUAACCCGAGUUGUGGACAUUGCGCGUGCUUAUGUUUAUUGUGCUGCUGGGCGCGCGGUAGUUCCUGUGGGAGGGGUUAUGAUUACACUGCAGUAAUGUAAGACUGUAGUCACACCCCGGGUGAGACAGGUGUCCAGGGGCACCGAUGGCAUUGUCUCGUGAGCUGUGGAUGGUGUUCUCCGGUCGCUGCAGCAUGCACGAUGUUCUCGGCUGUCGUGAUAUAUUCCUUAAACACUAAGAAUGAGGAGCAAGAGGAAGCAGGUCAGGAUGAGGAAGAGGAGGAGUCAGCAUCUAUUCUGAGGACACGCCUUCUAGAGCUGCAGGCCACUGUAGAGGAAGUGGAGGAGCGUGGACAGAGGGCUGAAAUAGAGUAUGUGGAGCGCAUAGCUGUGUUAAACCAAGAGACGUCAGAUCUGCACAGAGACUACCAGAAUCUGCAGACGGAGAGAGACAAGCAACACAAGUUACUGCAACAAACACUGGAAGAAAACAAGCGCUUAGAGAGCGAGUGCCAAGAGCUACGCAGAGCCAGAGAUGAAGAGAGGAAGCAAGAGGAAGAGGAGAAGAGGCACAGAGUGGAGGAGGAGAGGAAGAGGGAGAUGUAGGAGAGAAAGAGACUAGAGGAGGAGUGUGAAGAAAAGCUGAAAACCGUGAGAAAGGAGCUUCAGGCUUUCAGGGAGGAGAAGGAGAGAGCGGAGAAGGAAUGCAAGAGAGAUGUGGAGGAGUGGAAGAGGAGAAUGAAGGAGAUGGAGGAAGAGAAGAGGGAGGAGCAAAAGGCAGCUGAGAAGACGCUACAAAAGAGCCUCAAUGAACACAUCCACCAGUGGCACCUGAGAGAGCAAGAAAACCGCAAGUCCCAGAAUGCAACACUUCAGCAGAGGCUGAGAAAAGCGGAGACUGACUUGGAGGUUCAGGAACAGAGGCUGAAUGAGAGCAACAGACGCUGCAGCGAACUUCAGGAGACAGUAGAGGUAAUUAACUCCAAAAUGAACUUUUUACACUUCUUCCCAUUCCAGGUGAAUCCUGACAAUCUAACAUCCUUAAAUAGUUAUUCCAUGAGACACUAUUGUGUAUGUUUCCUCUGUACUUUAAUAAACAUAUAUAAAUAUUGAUAUAAUAUUGGUGGUUCGGGGGAUACAGAUAAUUUUUCUACAGACAGAGUUAACAAUUAUUUAUGUUGUUUUUUCUUUAGGAAACAACAG
ensembl:lncRNA